AUUGAACGCUGGCGGCAUGCCUUACACAUGCAGGUCGAACGGUAACAGGUCUUCGGAUGCUGACGAGUGGCGAACGGGUGAGUAAUACAUCGGAACGUGCCUGGUAGUGGGGGAUAACUACUCGAAAGAGUGGCUAAUACCGCAUGAGAUCUACGGAUGAAAGCAGGGGAUCGCAAGACCUUGUGCUACUAGAGCGGCCGAUGGCAGAUUAGGUAGUUGGUGGGAUAAAAGCUUACCAAGCCGACGAUCUGUAGCUGGUCUGAGAGGACGAUCAGCCACACUGGGACUGAGACACGGCCCAGACUCCUACGGGAGGCAACAGUGGGGAAUUUUGGACAAUGGGCGCAAGCCUGAUCCAGCAAUGCCGCGUGCAGGAUGAAGGCCUUCGGGUUGUAAACUGCUUUUGUACGGAACGAAAAGCCCUGGGUUAAUACCCUGGGGUCAUGACGGUACCGUAAGAAUAAGCACCGGCUAACUACGUGCCAGCCGCCGCCGUAA
rnacentral:rRNA from 1 species